GACGAACGCUGGCGGCGCGCCUAACACAUGCAAGUCGAACGAGAGAUGAAGAGCUUGCUCUUCAAAUCGAGUGGCGAACGGGUGAGUAACGCGUGAGGAACCUGCCUCAAAGAGGGGGACAACAGUUGGAAACGACUGCUAAUACCGCAUAAGCCCACGGCUCGGCAUCGAGCAGAGGGAAAAGGAGCAAUCCGCUUUGAGAUGGCCUCGCGUCCGAUUAGCUAGUUGGUGAGGUAACGGCCCACCAAGGCGACGAUCGGUAGCCGGACUGAGAGGUUGAACGGCCACAUUGGGACUGAGACACGGCCCAGACUCCUACGGGAGGCAGCAGUGGGGAAUAUUGCACAAUGGGGGAAACCCUGAUGCAGCGACGCCGCGUGGAGGAAGAAGGUCUUCGGAUUGUAAACUCCUGUUGUUGAGGAAGAUAAUGACGGUACUCAACAAGGAAGUGACGGCUAACUACGUGCCAGCAGCCGCGGUAAAACGUAGGUCACAAGCGUUGUCCGGAAUUACUGGGUGUAAAGGGAGCGCAGGCGGGAGAACAAGUUGGAAGUGAAAUCCAUGGGCUCAACCCAUGAACUGCUUUCAAAACUGUUUUUCUUGAGUAGUGCAGAGGUAGGCGGAAUUCCCGGUGUAGCGGUGGAAUGCGUAGAUAUCGGGAGGAACACCAGUGGCGAAGGCGGCCUACUGGGCACCAACUGACGCUGAGGCUCGAAAGUGUGGGUAGCAAACAGGAUUAGAUACCCUGGUAGUCCACACCGUAAACGAUGAUUAAAAGGUGUUGGAGGAUUGACCCCUUCAGUGCCGCCGUUAACACAAUAAGUAAUCCCCCCUGGGGAGUACGACCGCAAGGUUGGAAACUCAAAGGAAUUGACGGGGGCCCGCACAAGCAGUGGAGUAUGUGGUUUAAUUUGACGCAACGCGAAGAACCUUACCAAGUCUUGACAUCCCUUGACGAACAUAGAAAUAUGUUUUCUUUUCUGAGCAAGGAGACAGGUGGUGCAUGGUUGUCGUCAGCUCGUGUCGUGAGAUGUUGGGUUAAGUCCCGCAACGAGCGCAACCCUUAUGGUCAGUUACUACGCAAGAGGACUCUGGCCAGACUGCCGUUGACAAAACGGAGGAAGGUGGGGAGGACGUCAAAUCAUCAUGCCCCUUAUGACUUGGGCUACACACGUACUACAAUGGCGUUAAACAAAGAGAAGCAAGACCGCGAGGUGGAGCAAAACUCAGAAACAACGUCCCAGUUCGGACUGCAGGCUGCAACUCGCCUGCACGAAGUCGGAAUUGCUAGUAAUCGUGGAUCAGCAUGCCACGGUGAAUACGUUCCCGGGCCUUGCACA
rnacentral:rRNA from 1 species